rnacentral:rRNA from 1 species
CGCAGCUAGCUGCGAGAAUUAAUGUGAAUUGCAGGACACAUUGAUCAUCGACACUUCGAACGCACUUGCGCCCCGGGUUCCUCCCGGGGCUACGCCUGUCUGAGCGUCG